GACGAACGCUGGCGGCGUGCUUAACACAUGCAAGUCGAACGAAGUGGCGAACGGGUGAGUAACGCGUAAUAAACCUGCCCUUCAGAGGGGGACAACAGUUGGAAACGACUGCUAAUACCGCAUCACGAAGGAGAGGAAUGGGGCGGGUUAGCUAGUUGGAGGGGUAACGGCCCACCAAGGCGAUGACCAGUAGCCGGUCGGAGAGGAUCAACGGCCACAGUGGGACUGAGACACGGCCCAGACUCCUACGGGAGGCAGCAGUGGUGAAUCUUCCGCAAUGGACGAAAGUCUGACGGAGCAACGCCGCGUGAGUGAUGACGGCCUUCGGGUUGUAAAGCUCUGUUAAUCGGGACGCGGUACCGGAAUAGAAAGCCACGGCUAACUACGUGCCAGCAGCCGCGGUAAUAC
rnacentral:rRNA from 1 species